AUUGAACGCUGGCGGCAUGCCUUACACAUGCAAGUCGAACGGCAGCGGACCUUCGGGUGCCGGCGAGUGGCGAACGGGUGAGUAAUAUAUCGGAACGUACCUUUCAGUGGGGGAUAACGUAGCGAAAGUUACGCUAAUACCGCAUAUUCUGUGAGCAGGAAAGCAGGGGAUCGCAAGACCUUGCGCUGAUUGAGCGGCCGAUAUCAGAUUAGCUAGUUGGUGAGGUAAAAGCUUACCAAGCCGACGAUCUGUAGCUGGUCUGAGAGGACGACCAGCCACACUGGGACUGAGACACGGCCCAGACUCCUACGGGAGGCAGCAGUGGGGAAUUUUGGACAAUGGGCGCAAGCCUGAUCCAGCCAUGCCGCGUGAGUGAAGAAGGCCUCGGUUGU
rnacentral:rRNA from 1 species